GAUGGUUUACAGAAACAGGACACCUUAUUUAAGUGCAUACACAUACAAUCAAGCCUGAUGUCAUCAAAGCUGAAGACAGAAGCUGGGGGUCUAGCAUGCACUGGUCAACACUGCUUCACCCUAUGGAAGGCUACGCAGAUGUCAUAGUGUGUGGACUACAAUUCAGUUCUAGGAUUUGCUGUUUGUGUAACUUGCUUUGCUAAUGAGAGCUGGGACAGUUGGAGCAAUCCUCUGUAGAUGAUAAAUGACAACUGUCAUAUAUUGGAAGUCGAUGGCUGCCGCUGCCUUUCUACUCGCUAGAACUUCAAACAUCUUGUGUUGCUUUUGUAUUCGCUUAUGCAAUGGAGACUAGGUACCUGAACUUACUGACCCUGUGAAGAUACACCAUGAGGAAAGCAUCACUGCCAGGGGAUCCUGACAGCCAAUGCUCCCUUCAGUGAGGAGCCGUAGGAUGGGAGAAUGAACAUGCCUUUUUCUGCCACAAACAAACCAUAAAGGAAAAGACACAUAUCUGAGAGCCAGCAAGAUGGUUCAGUG
rnacentral:sRNA from 1 species